rnacentral:rRNA from 1 species
GUGUCAGCAGCCGCGGUAAGACAGAGGGUGCAAACGUUGUUCGGAAUUACUGGGCGUAAAGCGCGUGUAGGCGGCAAGGCAAGUCGGGUGUGAAAGCCCUGGGCUCAACCCAGGAAGUGCAUUCGAUACUGCCCAGCUAGAGUCCCGGAGAGGAUGGUGGAACUCUCGGUGUAGAGGUGAAAUUCGUAGAUAUCGAGAAGAACACCGGUGGCGAAGGCGGCCAUCUGGACGGUGACUGACGCUGAGACGCGAAAGCGUGGGGAGCAAACAGGAUUAGAUACCCGCGUAGUCC